rnacentral:rRNA from 1 species
GCUUACCAUGCAAGUCGUGCGGAACGNCCUUUAGGAGGUGCUCGAGCGGCGAAACGGUGAGUAAGAAAAGAGUAACCUGCCCUCAACUUUGGGAUAACCCUCGGAAACGGGGGCUCAUACUGGAUGUUCACACUCUGGCGCAUGUUGGGGUGUGGGAAGUGUUUGCGGUUGGGGAUGGGCUCGCGGCCUAUCAGCUUGUUGGUGGGGUAAUGGCCUACCAAGGCGUCGACGGGUAGCCGGCCUGAGAGGGCGACCGGCCACACUGGGACUGAGACACGGCCCAGACUCCUACGGGAGGCAGCAGUGGG